UUAUAUGGAGAGUUUGAUCCUGGCUCAGGACGAACGCUGGCGGCGUGCCUAAUACAUGCAAGUCGAGCGGACGGAUGGGAGCUUGCUCCCUGAAGUCAGCGGCGGACGGGUGAGUAACACGUGGGCAACCUGCCUGUAAGACUGGGAUAACUUCGGGAAACCGGAGCUAAUACCGGAUAAUGCAUUUCCCCUCAUGGGGAUAUGCUGAAAGAUGGUUUCGGCUAUCACUUACAGAUGGGCCCGCGGCGCAUUAGCUAGUUGGUGAGGUAACGGCUCACCAAGGCAACGAUGCGUAGCCGACCUGAGAGGGUGAUCGGCCACACUGGGACUGAGACACGGCCCAGACUCCUACGGGAGGCAGCAGUAGGGAAUCUUCCGCAAUGGACGAAAGUCUGACGGAGCAACGCCGCGUGAGUGAUGAAGGUUUUCGGAUCGUAAAACUCUGUUGUCAGGGAAGAACAAGUGCCGGAGUAACUGCCGGCACCUUGACGGUACCUGACCAGAAAGCCACGGCUAACUACGUGCCAGCAGCCGCGGUAAUACGUAGGUGGCAAGCGUUGUCCGGAAUUAUUGGGCGUAAAGCGCGCGCAGGCGGUCUCUUAAGUCUGAUGUGAAAGCCCACGGCUCAACCGUGGAGGGUCAUUGGAAACUGGGGGACUUGAGUGCAGAAGAGGAAAGUGGAAUUCCACGUGUAGCGGUGAAAUGCGUAGAGAUGUGGAGGAACACCAGUGGCGAAGGCGACUUUCUGGUCUGUAACUGACGCUGAGGCGCGAAAGCGUGGGGAGCAAACAGGAUUAGAUACCCUGGUAGUCCACGCCGUAAACGAUGAG
rnacentral:rRNA from 1 species